CCUCGACGCAACGCACGAAGUCACGUAAUGGAAUUCGAAAACUUAAUUCGAUCUAACUUUAUGGCAACUGAAUUACUCGAUUUACUUUUCCUCUUAUGAUGAUCAUAUUUCUCUCACUUAUCUGUUGGAAAGAUUAUCUGCAAUUCUGCAUCAACUUAUUUGAAAACUGAUCUCUUCAACACGUGGUCCACUUCUUUACCCUUUCGUUGAUUGGCUAAAUGAGGAAGGGAAGCUGCGCAGUCGAAAAGGUAGAGACGCCAUUAAAGGUGUAGGGAUGAGAAGAGAUUUUAACCUCGUUCGACCUCGAAACAGUCCCCCCACCACCAGCGGCGUUAUAGGGAUGGGAGGCUGCUCGGAAAGAAGGUGUGGAAAUGCAGCUCCCAUAAAGUGGCUCGUCUCGGCACUCGUCAAGUCAAUUCAAUUCUUGCAUUCGAACUGUCAAUUGUGAGCUCAUGUCUCCUGUUUUUAGUAAACAUUGCUUGUUCUUUCAGUAUCAUCCACUUGGUGCAGUCGACUCAAAACUCGGUCGGAUUUCGUCGAUGAGUGGGGAUCGUUAGUCGCGUUGUCCUCAUGUUCGUGACUAGAUCUGACACUCGUCCACGACGUCAACCAACAAUCUACCUAUGUGCGUUUCUCUUGUUACAGGUUGUAUUUUUAUUUUUGCUUUUUUCUUUGGUGGUCUAGCUGUAUGAGGUUUAUAAGUUCAUAAAGCUAGAUCAGCAAGGCAACAAGUGGAAUUGUUUUCGACGUUUAAAAUGUACAAUUGUGACUUACCUCUCCAGUGUAGAGUAACGGGACCUAGGAACUACCGCUUGUGGUUGAUUGAAUUGUCGAUUUUUCUGAAUCGAUUCAAUUGUCUUAUUUCUAUCACAGUCGUAGUUACUAGAUAACGAUACUCGUUCGUCUCGUUAACGUGCAUGUUUGUGUUUGUGUGUACACAGCCCCCCAGUGCUGAGUCUAGUGGAUGAUGUGCUAGACAUUUUAGCUUGAAUUCUUGGUUGCAUAGCACCACGGGAUUCAGCCGCUGGUGUGUCGUGGUUUGAUAUUUUAUUUCAUUGCAUGUAUAAUUGUUUAGUCGAGCCAAGCAUCAGGGGGGAACUUUACUCAGUUUGAUUCAUAUUAUAUGCAAAUCACUGGGUACGUUCGCCCUUGGUGAAUGAAUCUUAAACUUCUAUUUUGGACUGUUUGGCAUUUGAAAACUGCGUUCCAGAUGUCGCUCAUCUCAGGAUUUCAACCGUCGAGGGUGGUUUGACCUUAUUUCAUUUUCGGUAUUCACAACUUUCUUUUUAUGACCUCCCCUCGAAUCCCGUUAGCUGCCGUUGACCUGGAAUGGGGUCGGACACGUGUGGCACAUUUGGACCAAUCCUGUGCGAGCUCUCAUAGUAGGGUGAGCUCGUGAACUUGUUCCGGCCGUUUUACCCUCUUGUGACCUCUUUUGCCGAAGGGGGUGGCUCAGAUCUGUUGGGGUCUUUGGUGGAUUUGAAAAAGUUUAUUCGGUGGGUUGCUGUCGACGGAGCAACAUCUCUUUAAAGUUGUCCUGUUAAGUUUCUAGUUGAGCAUACGUCAGUCGGCGAGUUCGGUUUUAGUUGUAUUUUAAAUUUAGUCGGUAUGACUAGAACCCACACUCGUCCGGUUGCUGUAUUCUAUUUCAUCGAGUAGGUCUCUUGUAUUCUGGUGAUUAAUAUGUUGUGCAUUCUCCGAGUACUUGGUAUUUAUCGGUGAAUUCGACCGUGGUUUUGUUUCUUUUUCUAACAUCACCGGGUAGAAUUCAUCCAGAACUAUCAAGUUUCAUACAUCUACUACUUGUAAGUUCAAAUGUUUAUAUUGGAUUGGUUAUUAUAUUGUGGAACGAAAAAUAAACUGUUUCAUAUGAUAGUUGACUUUUGUUGUUGGUUCACUUUGGCAUUCGUAUUUAAAUGUUUUCCAGUUAAGCAAAAAAAUUCCUAUAGCGUACAUUCAAUUGUGAAUUGCUUUUUAAUAAACUAAAACAUUCAAAACUUUUUGUCAUUGUAAAUUAGGACUUUCUAAAUUAAAAUUUUAUCAUGGAAUUGUAUAUUGAAUUCGCUACAUUUUUAAUAUUACUCAUUUACAACACUUCAGCCCUACGUAACAAAAUAACCUCAUAGCAUUCAUCAAUGUUACAGCGUACUUCCGACGAAGUAGAUGAAGUUGGGCCAGCAUUCGUAUUGAUGUUCAACAGCACUUCGCAAGUAUUACCUAUAUUAAACAAAACAUGUGGUCAUACAUAAGCUGUGCUAGUUCUAUUAAGAGUCUUCAUAUUACCAAAUAGAUGCUUCACUUCUUCAACUGAGAAAAGGUGGUCCUGGAAGUGUUGACUGAUCAUACUGCAUAGUAUCAAUCAGAGAGCUAAAUGUCUAUUUAAGAGACUUUUUAUCAGUUUUGCAUACCUUUCUCUCUCCAUAGCUAAUAUGGCAACAAUAGAUCCACAGUCCCAGAUUCCAUCAUCACUCUAAGAACACAAUUUUGGAUAAAUGUGACAGUUAAAUUAAGGACAGUUGCUCACUUACAGGGUCCUUCAUUUCCCUUAGUGUAGGCUAAACCUUGCUCUUUGAAAAAUUCCACGAUUGGUUUCUCACCCCAUCUAAUAAUCCAACGACUUCAUGUCCUAUGUCAUAAAGCCUUAUUUAUAAACAUAGUGUCAGCAUCAACUUAACUAGGCAAAAUUCAUUUCACAAAUCUGAAUUUUGACUACCAUCUUAAGUCUUGUGUUUUCCCACAUAGAGGGACGAAUAUGCGUAACUUUCCUUCUUUGAUUUUAUAAACUUGAUAAAAAUAAACUCAUUGACUUCGGAUUUGUGCCAAGGUGCGUCUUCGGCUUACCACCUCUUCGACCAAUAUUCGACACGUUCUUCCAUCUUGAAAUUUGAUUGCAAAUUGACGUCUCAGAUAGAAAAGCAGACGAUAAAUCACGUUAUCAAUGCUUGUCAGUCGUACUUGACAGUUUAAAGAACUGUCACGAACGCAGUGUAGGGGAUAGGAGAAUGGAGGUGAAUAUUAUUAUUUUUCACUUUUAUUAUUAUCACCAUUUGGAUAUUGGAUAUUUGGUAAAAUUUUUAUUUACAAAACUUUAGCUUUAAGUAACAAAAUAAUCUCAUAGCACUCAUCAAUGUUCCAGCGUAUUUUUGCCGAAAUGGGUGAAGUAGGGUCAGCAUUCGUAUUUACGGUCAAUAGCGUUUCAAUCUCGCAAGUAUCACCUAAGUAGAACAAAGAAUAUUGUCAGUACAUGAGCAGUGCUAGUUGUACUGGGAGUCUUCAGAUUACCAAAUAGAUGCUUCACUUCUUCAACUGGGACACUAAGAGGAGGUCCUGGAUAUUGUGACUGAUCAUACUGCAUAGUAUCAAUCAGAUAGCCAAAUGUUUCAUUUAGCAGACUUUUCAUCAGCUUUGCAUACCUAGAUAGAAACAUUUGUUUAAAAAUUUCUAAUGGACUAAGCACUAGCAUUUACUUUUCUCUCUCCACAGCUAAUAUGGCAACAAGAGAUCCACGGUCCCAGAUUCCAUCAAACUUGCCACACAUUUCUGGAUUCAAGGCAAAUAAAUCACAGUGAUAUAUUUUAAGGCGUCCAUCAUCACUCUAGGAAGGACAGAGUUUUGAAUGAAUAUGACAGGUAAGUAAAAGACAGUUAGUCACUUACAACGUAGAAUGGAAAUCCUCCUUCAUUUCCCUUAGUGUAGGCUAAACCUUGCUCUUUGAAAAAUUCCAAGAUUGGUUUCUCUACCCCAUCUAAUCCAACAACUUCAUGUCCUUGGUCAUAAAGCCUAAUUUAGAAAUAUAAUGUCAGUAUUAACUAGGCAAAAUUAGUUUUACAAAUCUGAAUAUUGAUUACCAUCUUAAAUCUUGUGUUUUCCCACACAGAGGGACGAAUAUGCGCAACAUACCUUCUUUGAUUUUACAAACUUGAUCAAAGUAACUCAUGAGAAACUUAUUAACAUCAGCUUUGUGCCAAGGUGCGUCUUCGGCUUGCCACCUCUUCGACCAAUAUUCGACACGUUCUUCCAUCUUGAAAUUUAAUUGCAAAUUGACGUUUCAGAUUCAGUACAAUCUACUUUUAUAGGAGCAGACGAUAGAAAAGCAGACGACAAAAUCAUUUUAUCAAUGGUUGUCAGUUGUCAGUCAGCAAAAUCCAAACUCAGCAUUACUCAGCAGUUUUUAAACACGUACGCACCAGUACGCACUACUGUUGUCUAUGGCACUACGCGAUGUGAGAAAAAGCACUGAGAGAAACAUUUUUUUUUAGUUCGUUUGUGAAUUAUAACCAAGAAUGAUUCCCAUUAUAUAUUUCAUCAUGCUAUUUAAGAUACAUAGUAGGUUUUGGAAUUUGAAAAUGUUAAAUGUGUAAGUGUUUUGAAUCUGCCAUAACUGUUUAGUAUUCAGAAGCUACUAAGCCUUGGGUUUAAGCAAAAAUAUAUUUUUGUAGCAUUGAUCAAUGAUCCCAUGAAAUUUGAUCGGAUGAGUGACGUUGGAUCAUCCUUUGUGCUGACAUUCAACAGUGUUUCAACUUCAGAAAUAUCACCUAAAUUAAACAUUAUUGUGAUUUAUUGAUUAUAGCAUUACUAAUGUUAAAAUAAUUUUGAAUACCAAAUAGACAUUUCAUUUCUUCAAUUGGCACACUGAGAGGAGGCCCUGGAUAUUGUGACUGCUCAUAUUGUAUGGUGUGAAUCAGAUAGCCAAAAUUUUCAUUAAACACACUUUUCAGGAGCUUUGCAUACCUUGAGUUGAAGGGGACGAGAAAAAUUUUAUUUAAAAACUACAAUGAAUUGGAAAACUUCAUCAUUAUUUUUUACUUGUCUCUAUCUUCAGCCAGUAGAGCAACUAGAGACCCACGGUCCCAUAUUCCAUCAAACUUGCCACAAAUUUCUGGAUUCAAGGCAAAUAAAUCACAGUAAUAGAUUUUAAGCCGUCCAUCAUCAUUCUAGGAAGAACAAAAUAAUGUAGGUUAGGCCUUGCUCUUUGAAAAAUUCCAAGAUUGGUUUUUCUACUCCAUCUACUCCAUAACUCCAACAACUUCAUGUCCUAGGUCAUAAAGCUAGUUAAAAAAAAAUGUAUAAGUAAAAUGCACAAUCAGAUGUUAACUCAAUAAAAUUAGUUUUACAAAUCUGAAUUUUGAUUACCAUCUUAAAUCCUGUGUUUUUCCGCACAGAGGGACGAUUAUGCGUAACUUCCCUUCUUUGAUUUUACAAACUUGGUCAAAGUAACUCAUGAGAAACCUAUUAACAUCAGCUUUGUGCCAAGGUGCGUCUUCGGCUUGCCACCUUUUCGACCAAUAUUCGACACGUUCUUCCAUCUUGAAAAUUUUUGUGUCAAGUGCUGAACGUUCGCUGUUGCAUAGCGUGAAUGCGAUAAGAAUAGAGAAGUUUCAUCGCUAACGGGCGAAAGCCCAAAACGCCAAAAGAUUCCAUUUUGGGUGAGAGUAAUCCUGGGGCGUGGGGAGUAAAAUUUGGUGCUAGACUGAAAAAAACCUCUAAUCUAUUCUUCCUAUCAUGUUUCAGUAUCAGAACAAUCAUUUAAUGGAGGCAGACAUCGAUAGAUAGCUCACAAAAGUCAAUGCAUUGCUAUUGCGCCGAUUGCACCCCAUAGUGUGAGGCACAAUAGGUGUAACCAUGAUAUUACGCUUCCAUAUUUACCGUUGUUUAGAAGAAAUGGCAAUAAUGGGAGGAAACAUUACUAAUCAGUUCGUUCGAAAAUCUUUUAUAAAAAAAAGCAGUUGACAUACCAAUCGUGAUAGAAAUAUUGUUAGGGUGUUUAGUAUGAGCGACGUUUAAAAGUAGCGCCACUUGUUUCCAUAUGAAAAGUGGUCGUGAAAAAAAAAAAACAGGUUUGCCAAUAGCUGAAUCACGCAUGUCAUCGACCGGCCAUCCACUUGAACGAAACAGUUUGAACUGAGCACCGUAAAAAGCCUUAUAUUCAGACCACGUACGCACGGUAUUUUUCAUUACAGAAUGAUUCGAAACAGGGUUAAAUUCUCCAACUUUAAUCCAUGUAGUAUGUAUUAUAUAAAGUAACGAAGUUGAUUAAGUCAACAAAUCUUUUAGUAAGUUACGAUUGCUUGAUUUUUAGAUAGUAUUGUUGUUGCCUUUGCUGAUAAUAGUUAUGGACAUUUUGGAUUUAGAGCGACUUGCUGUGCGUAUCACGUAGAAUUGCGUCGGCUAUUCCGACAGCUGUGCGAUCCAACCUGACAAGGAAAGUAUUGCUCAGUAACAAAUUUGAAGAACAAAUAAAAUAUUUGAGUUUACUAACCAAGUAACAGGAUUGGGUUUGAGCAAUCCUCCUUCAUAAAAACCCAAGUGACCUCCGUGCGACGUCAAAAUAUAGGCAGACCUAUCGCGACUUUCUGAAGAUGAAAUGUACAAAAAAAAAUAUUAGAAAAUCGAAAAAAGCAAAUAUUAGAAUAACAACGAGAAUACUACGAACGUGUUUUAAACUAACCGGCAUAUUGCUUAGGCCAACUAAGCAAGGGUUCAGGAAUAAUUGGGUCAUCUUGUGAAUUGAUAAAAACCAGGGGAAUCGUAAUAUUAUCCAGGUACAAGGAGCAACUACUUUGAGUGUAGAGGUCGUUAAUCGAAUCAUAUC